AUUGAACGCUGGCGGCAGGCCUAACACAUGCAAGUCGAACGAGUGGCGGACGGGUGAGUAAUGACUGGGAAACUGCCUGAUGGAGGGGGAUAACUACUGGAAACGGUAGCUAAUACCGCAUACCAUCAGAUGGGCCCAAUUGGGAUUAGGUUGUUGUUGGGGUAAAGGAUCACCAAGGCGACGAUCUCUAGCUGGUCUGAGAGGAUGACCAGGCACACUGGGACUGAGACACGGUCCAGACUCCUACGGGAGGCAGCAGUGGGGAAUAUUGCACAAUGGGCGAAAGCCUGAGGCAGCCAUGCCGCGUGUAUGAAGAAGGCCUUCGGGUUGUAAAGUACUUUCAGUGGGGAGGCGUUACCCACAGAAGAAGCACCGGCUAACUCCGUGCCAGCAGCCGCGGUAAUAC
rnacentral:rRNA from 1 species